rnacentral:tRNA from 1 species
GUGGAUGUAGCUCAGUUGGUAGAGCCCUGGAUUGUGAUUCCAGUUGUCGCGGGUUCGAUUCACCCCAAUUUCG